rnacentral:rRNA from 1 species
CCUACGGGGGGCAGCAGUGGGGAAUAUUGCACAAUGGGCGAAAGCCUGAUGCAGCAACGCCGCGUGAAGGAAGAAGGCCUUCGGGUCGUAAACUUCUGUCCUUGGGGAAGAAGAACUGACGGUACCCAAGGAGGAAGCCCCGGCUAACUACGUGCCAGCAGCCGCGGUAAUACGUAGGGGGCAAGCGUUAUCCGGAAUUAUUGGGCGUAAAGAGUACGUAGGUGGCAACCUAAGCGCAGGGUUUAAGGCAAUGGCUCAACCAUUGUUCGCCCUGCGAACUGGGAUGCUUGAGUGCAGGAGGGGCAGGCGGAAUUCCUGGUGUAGCGGUGAAAUGCGUAGAUAUCAGGAGGAACACCGGUGGCGAAGGCGGCCUGCUGGACUGCGACUGACGUUGAGGCCCGAAAGCGUGGGGAGCAAACAGGAUUAGAUACCCGGGUAGUC